UUGCCCAGCAGGGAGAGCAGCAGCUUCCCGCUCCACCUCCAAAGCCUCAGUAGUAGACAUCCCUGGAUAGCCUCAAGGCUACACAGACCAGUGACUUUCUGCACGCUUUCCCCAGAAAGCGGUCCAGGAGCCCGUGACCCUGCAGCCAAGCCUGUGCGAUGAGGUCUCUCUAGGGUGUGGUGCUCCAAUGCUCCGACCCAGCAGAGGGCGGGGCGGGGCGGUUCUCUAGUCUUCUGGCUCUAAGCCGCGCCAGAUGCCACGCCACAGCUUUUCCUCGGCCACCUGUCCGCCAGCCGCCGUGCGAACCGGACUCGGCCCUCUUCCCGUCCUCGGUUCCCCUGACCCUGGUGACUGAAGCGAAGUUUCCCAAAUCAGCAGCUCUGGCCAUGACGGAGCCACGGUGGCAGCCUUCAAUUCGGAAACAGAAAGUCAGCGUUAACUGUGACCACAGGCUAACGCUACCCCAAAGGCACCAGCGACCAUGUCCCAAUCCUCACAUGAUGCGGGCAAGGAGGAUCAGGGAGAGCCGCGGAAAGACUUUACGGUGGAUGACUUAAGUCAAGGUAACUUUACCAAGAUCCACAGAAGGUGAGGAGGGCGGGGACUGGAGAGAUGACUCAGCUGUUAGGCUAGGUGUUGCUCCUGCAGAGGACCUACCUGGGUUUGAUGGUUUCACAACUUUCUGGCACGAGGGAAUCCGAUGCCCUCUUCUGGCCUCGGAGGGCACCGGGCAGUCACGUGCUACACAGACAUACAUGCAGACCAAAACACCCACACAUGGUGGAUAAAUCUUAAAAGAAAGGGAGAGCUGGCAAGCAGGAUAGGACGGGAGUCUGUGAACUGUUUGUAGAUCAUCCCUUGCUCUGGAG
rnacentral:lncRNA from 1 species